rnacentral:rRNA from 1 species
CCCAAGUGUAUGUUAAGUGGAAAAGGAUGUGGCGCUGCCUAGACAGCUAGGAUGUUGGCUUAGAAGCAGCCACCAUUCAAAGAGUGCGUAAUAGCUCACUAGUCGAGUGGCGCCGCGCCGAAAAUGUAACGGGGCUAAACAUACCACCGAAGCUGCGGAUUCCGUAAGGAAUGGUAGGGGAGCGUUCCAAACCGCUGUGAAGCUGUACCGGAAGGAGCAGUGGAGCGUUUGGAAGUGAGAAUGCCGGUGUGAGUAGCGAAAAGAGGGGUGAGAAUCCCCUCCGUCGAAAGCCCAAGGUUUCCUGAGGAAGGCUCGUCCGCUCAGGGUUAGUCUGGACCUAAGCCGAGGCCGAAAGGCGUAGGCGAUGGAUAACAGGUUGAUAUUCCUGUACCGCCGAUCCACCGUUUGAACAAUGGGGGGACGCAGGAGGAUAGUGACGCAUGCGGAUGGAAGUGCAUGUGCAAGUUUCAAGACCGUCUGAUUGGCAAAUCCGUCAGGCAUCACAGU